rnacentral:rRNA from 1 species
UACGAAGGGGGCUAGCGUUGUUCGGAUUAACUGGGCGUAAAGGGUGCGUAGGCGGGGUUUUAAGUCAGGGGUGAAAUGCCGAGGCUCAACUUCGGAACUGCCUUUGAUACUGGAACUCUUGAGUCUGGGAGAGGUGAGUGGAACUGCGAGUGUAGAGGUGAAAUUCGUAGAUAUUCGCAAGAACACCAGUGGCGAAGGCGGCUCACUGGCCCGGAACUGACGGCUGAGGCACGGAAAAGCGUGGGGAGCAAACAGG